UUCUGUGAUGAAAACGCUAUAUAGGAAGUGCCGUCUGAUGCGAUUAACUGACGAUGGCAAAGCAAACAUUUUCUGAGA